AUUGAACGCUGGCGGUAUGCUUAACACAUGCAAGUCGAACGGCAGCAUGGUCUAGCUUGCUAGACUGAUGGCGAGUGGCGGACGGGUGAGUAACGCGUAGGAAUAUGCCUUGAGGAGUGGGACAACUUGGGGAAAAUCAAGCUAAUACCGCAUGUACUCGAGCGAGUAAAGCUAGGGACCUUUAUGCCGGGCGCCUUAAGAGUAGUCUGCGUCCGAUUAGGUAAUUGGUAGGGGAAAGGCCUACCAAGGCGACGAUCGGUAGCUGUGUCUGAGAAGAUGAUCAGCCACACUGGAACUGAGGGACGGUCCAGACUCCUACGGGAGGCAGCAGUGGGGAAUAUUGGACAAUGGGGGGAACCCUGAUCCAGCAAUGCCGCGUGUGUGAAGAAGGCCUGAGGGUUGCAAAGCACUUUCAGUGGGGAGGAGGUUUGGAAGGUUAAGAGCUAUUCAAAUGGACGUUACCCACAGAAGAAGCACCGGCUAACUCCGUGCCAGCCGCCGCCGUAA
rnacentral:rRNA from 1 species